AAUCGCAGAAUUGUGUUUUUUCGAAUUUUUUGCAAUUUUUGAUACUGUUUUCGCUUUAGUUUUUGAACCGUUUGUCGAAACGAGGCGUGUGAUAUGCCAUUGUAAAGCUACGGACGAGACGCAACUUUCAUAUGUAGAAGUGUUUUUGGAAUUCCUUACGGUUUUAAGUUAAUUUUGUAAAUCGUGCGGCGGACGACGAGUGGCAGAGGCCGUUUUCGUGAAAUUUUUAUAAACCGCUGGUCGGAAUGAUUCAAAUGAUACACCGUUGGGAAGAUAUCAACGAGACGCAACUUUUUCAUGUAGAAUACUUUCUCUAAUUCCUUACGGUUUAAGAGCAGUUUUGAAAUUACUGAAAUGCAGACACUGUUUUUCGCGACACCUAAAUCGACGAGUGAACCGCAUCGAACAGAAAACCGCACUGGUUCCGACUGAAAACCGCACUGCAUCGGACGGGCAACUGAGCUGCAUAAUUUCUUUUGUCGGGCGUAAAUUUUCUCAGACGAGUUUUUGUUGUCUUUUUUUCAACUUUUUUUAUGAACGAGAGUGGACCGCAGAGACGAGGGCAAGUGAGCCGCAACACUAUCAAAAGUGAACCGCGUUACUUUUCUUUAUCAUUUUUCUUUCACGUUGGGCGUAAGUGAACCGUGACACUAUCAAAAGUGAACCACAACAAUACCGAAAGUGACCCGCAUGAGUUUUUCUUAUCUUUUUUCAUACUUAUUUUACGCAGGCGAGUGGACCGCAGUGGCUGAGCAAGUGAACUACAUCUAAUAAGAAGUGAGCUUCUUUGAAUUGUUUUUUUUCAGUAUACCAAAUGACGGCCCAUGCAUUUAAAAAGACGGUAGUAUUCUUCCAUAACUCCAAAGAAACCAAGCUACCCAACGAACAUAAGUAGUUGUGUAGAACGCAACACCAACAUGAUUAAGUGGCAAGACCAUUGAUCUGCAAUGAAAUUGUGGAUUUCUGUCAUUAGAUUCUUGUGUUUAGAUUUUUGGUAAGAUUGAGCGAAUCGUAACAUUUCUUUUCAUACAUUUUUGAAAUUCGCCUAUAGGCAUCUGAUUGUCAUCAGUGCAUUCGGUGGGGGGAGACCUUCCCGUCAAGUAGAAAGACGUUUGUGCGAUUUCGUCAAUUUCAAAAUAAUAUGCCGGCUCAGUUUUUCGAAGGUGCUCAUAGCGGUAGGGUACUAGAGUGUGUGCGUGCUUGCGUUUAUAGGGCGAGUGUAUGUACGUAUGUAUGACCGUUUGCGUUUGUAGUGUGUUCAAAAAAUAAUAUUGUCAUCAGUGCAUUCCCACUGACUGCGUUUCGGACACAGCUUAGCAUGCAUGGCACGUGGAGUAUUUUUUACUAACCAUUGCCUACUUAUCAACUAUGGAGGCUGUUCUCUUUUCUUGUACUACAACAACAUAUAUGCAAAGGAUAAAAAGCUCAUACAUACACUGAUACAUAUAUACGCGUACACUCAUGAGUGAACACUUCUGUUCUGCACUUGCACACACACGCGCAAGCCAUCCUGUAAGUCUAGCAUUUUUUAUUACCUAUCCCCUUGCGCUCUCGCACAUCGCUCACACUAGCGCGCGGCUACUCAUCUCUAGCUACCAUCUCAGCUCCACUACCGCAUCACCUCUGCUCCACCACCACCACCACCACGCUGCCCACUCGACGGCAAUGGCUGCUACUCAGUGAUGGCCCCCACCGGCCGGCUAUGCCGGAAGACAACGCGUCCUGCCUCCUCUGUGCCAAGGACGCCUUCUUCUUCGUCGACACCACCGCCAGCACCUGCACCACCGCCGAGCAGGACGGUGGCUGGUACUCCGGCGCCGAGGAGGAGUCGGCGUCGUCUUCGGCGGCGGCCUUCGUUGCCGAGCUCAUCGGCGGCGAGGCCGACUACUCGCCCCUGUCCGACUACUCCGACCGGCUCCGUCGACCACGCUGCUCGGGCCGCCUCCAUUGUAUGGAUUCUCAAGGUGACAUGCACAAAUCGCUGGAUAGCUCGACGAGCUUCUCUGAUUGGAAUAUGGAUGGUGCAUGUUUGUGUGUGUAGUUUUCUGCCAUCUGUAUCACAUCCCAUAUUGUUAUGUUUUCAGGUGCAAGAGUACUACAGAUUCCUUCCCCUGAUGGCCUACCUCGCCGUGAACUACAUGGACCGAGCUUCUCUGCAUUUAAAAAACUGGAUGCGCCUGCAAUCCGUACUGCAGGAUGCCACAAGGGAACCACAAACAAGGUGAAAUUAAAACAUACAGCAAAGAUGAACUACUAAAAAAUAAGUAUGUCGCCGGCCACCCUAGUGCAGUGCACUUGUCUCCCGCCGCGCGCGACUGUGUAGAAGAAAGCUGCAGGUGAGGGCCGUAAACUGCACACUAGGUCGAGCUGCACUGCACGCCACACUCAACAGCACUGCACGAUGUGCUCGCUGGAAAGGGGCGCCACACUGGCCGCUCUUCAACUUGACGACCUCGUUUGUGGACUGCACGGGUGCGGUCGCCGGGCUGCAGGGAAGGGGCGCCCGCACCCUCACGCUGUUCCGAGAUGCUGUGCAUGAAGUGAGCUGCAGUUUGAAGAAAAAAACCACCCGUACGGACGAAGUGAGCUGCAUCGACGACGGGACAUCAACAUUCGCCACCGGAGGACGUCGGAGGAGCCCUGGAGCCAUCCCUUGCCCGCACACUGAAGAUUUUCAAUAGCAAAAACAAAACAAAAGUGAACCGCAAGACUCGUGCGGCCAGGACCAGUCCGGUGGCGGAGGGGCAGGGUGGCCAGAACCGGCGCGUGCCUAACGGAUCUGGGCAGGGGCGGAGCACCGGUAGCUCCAACACCGAUUGUGGACAGACAAGGGGCGGUGGCCAAUCCUUGAAGGCUGAUGCUCGUCGGGAAGGAAGGAGCUCACACUUGCACGCGAAUUACACGGCCGUGGGACCCCUACUGCACGCAUGCAGUCCAUCACGAGGGCCGCAGAAGGGGAUAGGAGGUGAUGACAGGCGCAACGCGACGGUACUGGAAGAGGUGUGCGGCGCGGGCGCGGAAGUCUAGGAAGAAUCUCAGCGGGAGUUGGGGUGAUACGCAGCUGUAUGGGAGAUUGGGAGGGAGGAGGUGGAGGAACGGGGAGGGGUUGGUCGCGGCGACCCUCGAGCUCACCGGACCCCUCCAAUCCUUGAAGCCGGCUGCCCCUGACGCGCCCCGGGACGGCUACGAGCGGAUCUGACGUCAGACAGCCGCGGGAGGACGGCGACGAGGCGGAUCCGGCGGCUGGCCGAUGCGGGGGUAGGUGGGCCGAGGAGGAAGGUGGUUGGAGAGGGUGUGGCGGCGCGGGGAGGGGGUGGUGCCGCGGCACGGUAAGAGAGGUGGUGCAGUGUGGCACCGGGAAGGAGAUGGUGCGGCGCUGGGGUGGUUGGGGUAUGGGAUGGCGGGGGUGGGAUCGGGGGAAGAAGGUGGAAGGGGAUCGGGGGAGUGACGCGGGGAAGAAGGUGGACAGGGAUUGAGGUGUGACGCGGGGAAGAAGGUGAGGUGGGUCGAGGGAUUAGUCUUAGCAGAAUAAGGCGAGGUGUUCGCAGAAUAAGACUUUUAAGGGUGUGUUAGCAGAAUAGACCCACCUAGUGGUAGUUACCGCCUAGGAAUCCACCGUUGAUCUCAUGUGCCUAGAUGGGUUGCCUACAGAAACCUAACGGGCUAGAUGAGGUUCCACCUGACCCGUUUAGAUUAUCCCAUUGUACGUGAGCUUAUCCCUUAUUUUGAAUCCAUCGUAAGUCAUCCUUAUCCUACUACUAACAAACCUAGCUGGUCUCACUAUGUGAAAAUAGCUUUUAUCUGUACCUUCUAGUUACCAAUAACAAACAGGCUGAUCUCUCUUUUCUCUAUCUGAUUGUUCAAUAUCUCCGGAGCUUCUUUUGUCACCGGUUGGCGACGGCUGGCGUCGUCCCUAGUAGUUUUCUGCCACCGGCGAGACAGCAAAAUAACGGCUGACCAGCGUUGGCCCAUUCUGCUUUGUGAACAGAUAAGCGCACCUGCAGGAGAUCGGUUGAAAAAUUAAGCGAGAUCCACCUGCUACAACACCAGAGAGCCCAGCAGCAACUUGUGAGUGACUCCCUUGGCAACAACGACGCACCGUGCGAACGCCCAAUUGGUGAAUGAGUGGUGUGCCCCCGGUGAACUAUAUUGCAUAUGGAUGUGCAGCGACUAAGACACGGUACGACGGUACACAAGGACCAUGCACGUAGAUCAGUGGAGGCAACUAGAGGCAACGACGACGACCACGAAGCUGCAACCUGUAACCGAAUUCCCACAAUAGACAGAAAUCUCAUGAGAACACGGUCAUAUGCAUGGAUGGCAAACCGCAUGAUGCAUGGAUAACAACACGUGCAUGUAUACGUACAAGACUUUGUCAUCUCAUAUUUCCAUACUAGAAGUAUAGUUAAAUAUACUCCGGUGUAUACUCUCACUACACUGUUUGUACUGAAGCAUGUACAUGUUUAUUGUCCCAUU